rnacentral:lncRNA from 1 species
AUAAUUUGAUGAUUCUUUACUAUUCAACUAAAUAGUGUUAUACGAUCGAGUUGGUGGCUCUUACGAACAUAACGAUUUCGCAGAGUGUCGUCAUAAAAUGUGAUAUAAUGAUUUGGUGCACUCAAAAGAAUUGGGCUCGAGAGGCGCAGGUUAGGCGCAUAGGCUUAGAUGAUUAGCGCGUUUAAUAUAGUCAGAUCCGAGAUUGAGGCACAUACAAGUGAUAUCAAAGCCUAUAGUUUGA